GGGACGGAGGGCCGGGCUAGGAGACGCGGUCCUCCACGGUCCCAGCCGGCCCCGCGCCCGCUUGUCGGCUCCCUUCCCCCCAGCCGCACGCUGCGUGGCUGCUCGUUGGCUGCUUAGGACGGAAGCCCGGUUGGUGUUUCUCCAGAAGUUUCCCCCUUGGGCGGUGGCAGAGCUCAUAACCGCGGUAGUAGCAGCCUCAGCGGCAGCAAUUGUGACUAUCGGGAAUGGCGGCGGCUGCAGCAGGCCCUGCAACAGCCCAGAGGUUUUUCCAGAGCUGCUCAGAUGCUCUGAUCGACGAGGAUCCCCAGGCGGCGUUAGAGGAGCUGACUAAGGCUUUGGAACAGAAACCAGAUGAUGCACAAUAUUAUUGUCAAAGAGCUUAUUGUCACAUUCUUCUUGGGAAUUACUGUGAUGCUGUCACUGAUGCAAAGAAAUCUCUUGAACUCAAUCCAAAUAAUUCUACUGCUAUGCUGAGAAAAGGGAUAUGUGAAUACCAUGAAAAAAAUUAUGCUGCUGCUCUAGAAACUUUUACAGAAGGACAAAAAUUAUAUAGAGAGAUGGGGUCUCGCUCUUGCUCAGGCUGGUCUUAAACUCCCGAGCUCAAGCGAUCCUCCUGCCUUGGCCUCCCAGAGUGCUAGGAUUACAGGUACAGAUGCUGAUUUCAAUGUCUGGAUUAAAAGAUGUCAAGAAGCUCAGAAUGGAUCAGAAUCUGACGUGCGGACUCAUCAGUCAAAAAUCAAGUAUGACUGGUAUCAAACAGAAUCUCAAGUAAUCAUUACACUUAUGAUCAAGAAUGUUCAGAAGAAGGAUGUAAAUGUGGAAUUUUCAGAAAAAGAGUUGUCUGCUUUGGUGAAACUUCCAUCUGGAGAGGAUUACAAUUUGAAACUCAGACUUCUUUAUCCUAUAAUACCAGAACAGAGCACAUUUAAAGUACUUUCAACAAAGAUUGAAAUUAAAAUGAAAAAGCCAGAGGCUGUGAGAUGGGAGAUGCUAGAGGGGCAAGGAGAUGUGUCUAAGCCAAAACAGUUCAUAACAGAUGUAAAGAAUCUAUAUCCAUCAUCAUCUCAUUAUACAAGAAAUUGGGAUAAAUUGGUUGGUGAGAUCAAAGAAGAAGAAAAGAAUGAGAAGUUGGAGGGAGAUGCAGCUUUAAACAAAUUAUUUCAGCAGAUCUAUUCAGAUGGUUCUGAUGAAGUUAAACGUGCCAUGAACAAAUCAUUUAUGGAGUCUGGUGGUACAGUUUUGAGUACCAACUGGUCUGAUGUAGGUAAAAGAAAAGUUGAAAUCAACCCUCCUGAUGAUAUGGAAUGGAAAAAGUACUAAAUAAAUUAAUUUGCUCUUACUGUAUUGCGUAUAUUCA